rnacentral:misc_RNA from 1 species
GUGAAUCAUCGAAUCUUUGAACGCAAAUUGCACUCUCUUCGGUGAGUAUGCCUGUUUGAGGGUCAGCCUAAAAAAAAAUCGACAUAGUUGUUGUUACGCUGUAACAUUCUUCGGAAAUUGGUUCAUCUUAAACCUUUUUGGUUAAAAGGAUUAAAAUUUUUUUUACAAUUUUAUGAACGUUUUUAAGAUUUUAUUUUCUUAUACGUUUAAGGUAUCGUUCUUUAUUAGACUUGGCCGUUGCAUCG